rnacentral:rRNA from 1 species
AGUAAUAUAUCGGAACGUACCCUGGAGUGGGGGGAUAACGUAGCGAAAGUUACGCUAAUACCGCAUACGAUCUAAGGAUGAAAGCAGGGGACCGCAAGGCCUUGUGCUCCUGGAGCGGCCGAUAUCUGAUUAGCUAGUUGGUGGGGUAAAGGCCUACCAAGGCAUCGAUCAGUAGCUGGUCUGAGAGGACGACCAGCCACACUGGAACUGAGACACGGUCCAG